AGCGAACGCUGGCGGCAGGCCUAACACAUGCAAGUCGAACGAAGUCUUCGGACUUAGUGGCGGACGGGUGAGUAACACGUGGGAACGUGCCUUUAGGUUCGGAAUAACUCAGGGAAACUUGUGCUAAUACCGAAUGUGCCCUUCGGGGGAAAGACUUAUCGCCUUUAGAGCGGCCCGCGUCUGAUUAGCUAGUUGGUGAGGUAAAGGCUCACCAAGGCGACGAUCAGUGGCUGGUCUGAGAGGAUGAUCAGCCACAUUGGGACUGAGACACGGCCCAAACUCCUACGGGAGGCAGCAGUGGGGAAUCUUGCGCAAUGGGCGAAAGCCUGACGCAGCCAUGCCGCGUGAAUGAUGAAGGUCUUAGGAUUGUAAAAUUCUUUCACCGGGGACGAUAAUGACGGUACCCGGAGAAGAAGCCCCGGCUAACUUCGUGCCAGCCGCCGCGGUAAGAC
rnacentral:rRNA from 1 species